AAUUUUAGCUGAAAAAGUCAUCCAAUAACAAAGUUGUAUAGCUCAUCAAGAUCUAUAACUUUUAUUUUGGUCAUUUCUUCAUCCCGAUAAAGUUAUAGUAACAUUUUCAAAAAAAUUACAUAUCUCUCUUAUAUUUUAUAAAACCAUAUAAGAUAUGUAAAUUUUGUGAACAAUGUUACUAUCACUUUGUCGGAUGAAGAAAUGACUAAAAUAAACCAUUUAUAGAUAUUGACGAGUUAUACCACUUUGUUGUUGAUGACUUUUUCACCUGAAAUC
rnacentral:pre_miRNA from 1 species